CACAAACGGAUCAAACUGCGAGGCAAAAUGCUGUAAAACGUUUUUGUGUGGAAAAAAAAUCAAGUAUUUCUUCCCACUACACUAUAAUUGUCAAGUAACUUUUUCUGUGCUGAGAAUAUGGAUGGCUUGAGCUGUUUUGUGUUCACUUCGUCUGUAUUUUUUUCUUCAAACUGGGUAUUAGUCUCUUCUUACAAGGAAGGAAGCCUCUUGUAUGAACCUAGCACGGAUGUGAAGAAAAUUCUCUCGACUGAUGGCUUGCCUGUCCCAGGGCCGUGUGAUAAAGGGAUGUUUCACUGGAAUUCCGGAUGCUACCCAUGUUCACGCUACUGCUACAAAGGAAAGUGUGAUAAGUGGACUGGUGUGUGUAACUAUCAUAAGUGUGACGACGGAAGCAGAUACUCCGAAGACUUCCGGUGUCUUAGAACGUGCACAAAAGGCUGGUACGGUGAAAACUGCGGGCGGCCAUGCGGGAAAUGUUUGCUGGACACGUGCCACCCGCAGCACGGUCUGUGCUACAAGGGUGAUAAGCUCGGGUAUUCGUUAAGAGACGAGUUCUUCAAGGCUGUGGAUUUAAAUGAACCUUGGAACGACUCCAGCUUGGUACGAUUCCACGGAUGGUGUGAACACAUGAUCGAGGUCAAGGAAAAUAAGAUCACAUUUGCAAACGUGUCCGAUCGAGACUUCGUCGUGCAAGGGGAGACCAAAGCCAGUAGUCUUGAUGACAUCAGAAGCUCUGCGGGUUUCAACUACCGUGGCCCACGUUGUGAAUAUCGGUCAGGUUGUGAUCGUGGGCAUUAUGGUAUCAAGUGUGAAGAGGAAUGCAGCCUAUGCGCUGCUGAUACGAGCGGACCUUUCUGCAACGAUUUUGCAGUUUGUAUGGGGAAUUCAUGUUAUCCCAAAACCGCGAGGACUUGGAUUACAAAAAACAUCUACGGUUCACUGCGCUGCCGUCAGUCAGAGUGUUUUCCAAACGAAACCAAGUACUUCCUUCUACCGACGCAUGCUAAGGCAGACGAGGUGAAAGGACGAAGGUGUUUAAACAAUUGUGGGCGCUGCUUCCGAGGACUAUGUGAACAGAAUAGAGGGGCAUGUCUUUCUGGUUGCGAAGACGGGUACACUGGGAACAGAUGCGUGGUACAGAACUACACAUAUCUGAACACCCUGCCAGACGACGAGAUUGUCGAAGAAAAAAACCAAACAAAGAUUGAACAUGUUGACAAACCUGACAUGACUCCUUCUGAAAUGAUCCAGUCAACCAUCGUUGUCUUGGUUGCAUUGAUGCUCCCGUUCGUCAUUAGCGCGUUGUACGCGCGUACCAUCAAAUCCUUUGAGGUAGAAAAUCAAAGUUACCGUAUUCUCAAUGAGAUGCAGUAAUCGUAGGGAUGACGCAGGUUCAAGGAAUCAAUCAGAUAAGGUGGAUCAACCUUGACCUGCAACAUCACAGCUCCAGUCUUCAUGAGUUUGCUCUUUUACAUCCCAGGUCUUCAACGCUCAAGGUGCCCAUAGCUUUUAUUAUGCCUAGAAAUAAGUUCUGAUCAAGAAAAAUAUGUUUCAUGUAUCUGAAGAGAAGUACGUUUGGUUGUAUAUGUGGGAUUACGUGCAUCUUGUUGUCCUUAUAUGUGUUGGUUAAGAACAAAAGAAAAAUGUUAGUCCAUGCAUAACUAUGCACAAUAUGUCCCAUAAUUAUACUCUUUAACAUCUUGCUUCAUUCUUUUAUUGGUACAUCUGUGUGAAAUAUUUCAGUGGUACAUAAGAACAUGCAUAGACUGAUGAAUAUGACAUUAAUAAAAUAUAUUUUACAUGUAGAAAAACUAGUUUCUUUUGCUUCAACCUUUGGUCUUUAGAUCAGUUCUUUCUUAGGUAGCUUCAGUUGCAGAUACAUAAGGUGCUUACCCAAAUAAUCCUGGAGAGAACGAAGAAUGCCCUAGACAUAAGAUUGGGGCAAUCAUGCACAUACAAACCGCUAAUCCAAAAAUCAUCAUUGAACAGCCUAUUGAAUGACAGUCUCACCUGUACAUGACAUUUGUGGAUCUUGAGAAAACGUUUGACGUCGUAGACAGAGACCAUAUGGAAGUUAAUGCACCACUACGGAUUUCCACCAAAGUUCAUUGCCAUCCUCUAGCAACUGGACUAGUGACUUACAACAGAAGUCUGACUGACCCCUUCGCAGUAAGGACCAGAGUGAGGUGUGACCAGUCCAGCCCCACUUCCACUUCUUGAUGUCUUCGCUGGCAGGUUUUUGGUUAGUUCUUUCCCAUGGGUCUAUAUUGGAGAUCUUCUUGGGCCAUCUGAUGCUGAGGAUGUGGCACAGACAUCUGAAUCUUGUUGGUGAUGGUGUUUGUCACACGCCAUGUCUCAGAUCCAUAAAGAAGGACCGACUUUACAUUAGUGUUAAAGAUGCAGAUCUUUGUGUGUAGAGAUUUUAGCUAUAGAAGUUUAACCAUCAUGCUUUAUGUAGAAUCUUUCACCUGUUUUGGUAACCAGUGAAAAUAGAAAAUAAUAUCAGAUCGAGGACAUAGCAUGGAACUCUUAUAAAUCUUUUUUAUCAUUUCUUCCAUGCAAGUUACUAUUAUUCAGAUGGUUUUCAGCAUAAUGUUAACAUUGUUUAAAGAAAAAAAAACAGUAGCUACUAUCCGAUGCAAUGCCAAAAAAAAAAUGCUCAAAAAAAUAAUAGAAAACACUACACUGGAUUAAAGAAUAUUAAAAACACUUAUUUGCUAGAAGCUAUAUCACAAGAUAUGCGCCAAAUAUGGAAUGAUUGUCUGCAUGGUCAAAACUGACUCACUAAACCAUUUGUAGUGAAGACCAGUGUAAAACAGGGUUGGACAUUAUCAACAACAAUUAAUUUUCCAGGAUUAAUCUUCCUGAUGGUCACAGAAUGGAUUAUGCGCAAGACAACCCAAGACAACAAAACAGGUAUCCAGUGGACCUUCACCAACCAAGAGGACCUGGA